rnacentral:rRNA from 1 species
GACGAACGCUGGCGGCGUGCCUAAUACAUGCAAGUAGGACGCAGUUGCGAACGGGUGAGUAACGCGUAGGUAACUACCUAUUAGAGGGGGGUAACUAUUGGAAACGAUAGCUAAUACCGCAUACUGGUGGAUGGCCCUGCGUUGUUUUAGCUAGUAGGUUGGGUAAUGGCCUACCUAGGCAACGAAACAUAGCCGACCUGCGAGGGGGAUCGGCCACACUGGGACUGUGACACGGCCCCGUCGCCUACGGGAGGCAGCAGUAGGGCAUCUUGGGCCAUGGGGGGAAACUUUACCGCGCAACGCCGGGUGAGUUAAGAACGUUGUCGGAUCGUAAAGCUCGGUUGUUAAGUAAGCGGUACUUAACCAGAAAGGGACGGCUAACUACGUGCCAGCAGCCGCGGUAAUUC